GGAGAGGUGCGAGAGCCUGGUUGAAUCGGCACGACUGGAAAUCGUGUGUCCGACGAAAGUCGGACCGUGGGUUCAAAUCCCACCCUCUCCGCCA
rnacentral:tRNA from 1 species